GCAGAGAAUGAGAUCACCUGAUCGGAGGCCUGGUCUUUCAGUAGGUAGUGCGAGAGGAUUUAGACCAGCACGAAGAAAUCAUUUUUCACCAUCUCGCAAUACACAAUGGAUUGUUGAUAGGAAGGAUGGUGUUUUUCAUCGUAAGGGGCAGAGUUAUAAUACACAUUCUUCAUUAAGCAGGAGAUCAAUGGGAAGAUUUGUCCAACAGGAUGACAGGUCUGUUGAUUCUUCACGAAGCUUCAGAUCUGUGUUCUCAAGAAGAUUCAGGGAGAUGAGUGGAGCUGGAGGAGGGAGUUCAAGAUACGAAGAGAGUGAUGAUGAUAGGGGCAAGCGUCGAUGCAGAUAUGGGCUAGCUCAUUCUAUGAAGCAAAAUGACAUGGAGGGACCUGUGAAGCGUUUUCGUUAUAAUGUUGCAGAUGGUUAUAGUUCUCGUUAUAGGGAUGUUCCAGAUUCCUUUGGCAAAGAGAGUCCCAAUUGCCAUGGCAGGAGCAUUGCUAGCCAAAUUGGUGACAUUCCAGGGAAGUUCAGGGAAGGUAGAGGGCCAUUUACAUAUCAAAGAGGGGGGAAAUAUGAUGGUGACUCAAAGUCAUCUAGGGGGCAGCAAGGUGACGAUGAGAUGGCUUCAAGGGGAUGAUCUUCUUGACCUGUGUCCCUACUUAUCUCUUAGUGUAUUUGGUUUACAGUGGGCAAAUCAGUAGGUAGAUAUAUACUUUGGAUAAAAGAACCUUUUCCAUUAUCAGUGGAAAGGCAUUUAGAUCCGUAGUUCUCAUUCCCAGCUUUAUUUUUAACUUUUCUUAAUUAGUAUUAUUAUUAUUAUUAUUAUUUUGAAUUUUGGUCGGGGCCUAUCUUUUACCCUUGUAUAUUUAUUCUCUUGUAGCCGAUUUUGGUGACAGGCCAAUUGAAUAUUGUAAAAUCAAAGAAAUGUCAACAUAUUUUACCAAAAAAAAAAAAAAAAAAAAAA
rnacentral:misc_RNA from 1 species